rnacentral:lncRNA from 1 species
AGGGAACAAAGCCUUCUAAUUACCCAGGUGUCAAUCUAGUCCUCUCACAUCUGGCUUCCUGUGUUACUUUCCCUCCCUUCCCUAGCAAUGUAAGAAGCAGAAAAAUACUUUGAGUAUGAGUCUGAGGUAUGAAAUUUAUGCCCCGCAGGAUACAGUUUGGUUUAAAUUGCGUAAUUGAUCACAGAUCUAGAAUUUGGCAAUGUUCCUCUUUGCAGACUAGUUGCACAGGUACACAGUGGUGGGAAGGGAACAAUAAUUAUCACCUUGCUGGUUUUGACUUACCUUUGCCCGCAAAUGGAUAUAAAGCUGCAUUUCUUGGCAGAAAAUAGCCACACAGAGGAAAUGAACUACAAGGGUUAUGACUGGAAAGAAGACACGAAAGGGUCGAAAAAGGAAAAUGUUCAUUGGCUGGGGCCCCUGGAACAAAAGACAGAAAGAAAGAAUCAUAGAAAUGUGUAUGUUUUGCGUGACACUGGAGCCUUCAAUAGGAAAUGAAGACCCAAAGAAGUGCUUAAAACUGGGUUGCUUUAUGCUAGGUUUGAUGAAGAGUAGACGGUCAUGGGGAAAU